rnacentral:misc_RNA from 1 species
GUAGUAUUCAUCGGAUGAGACGAGACGAAGGCUCUUAAGUUUAUUCGAGCGAAUUGAAGCUGUCAUUGUGAAACUUUUGUGAUCUUUAACCAUUUUUGUUGUUUUUUAAUCCACGUAAGCUAAGCGGCAUCUGGCAAGCAACUGUUAUUUAUCAUUGCUCGAUUCUGGUAAUAAAUUAAACGAAAUUUUCCGCGCCAUAAUUUGAGAUGGUUUGUCUUGUCGGGCUGCGUAUUUAGAAAGAAUUCCUACGUUCUGUCUUCAGGUCUGAUUGACCACAAAAGCAACUUUGGGGUCGAUUGGCAAAUCAUGAUCUUGACCAUGUUAGAUACCUGGACAUCAUUAAACCAUGAUAAACACCUAAGACAAAACAGUUUGAAGACUGGAAGGGCCACAGAACAAACUUGAAAAGCUACCAACCACACAAUAUCGCCUUUAAUUCUCAAGAGUUCAGGAUUUCAUGAACAGCAACCCUCCAACUAGCACCAUGCAGAACAGUACUUAUCCCUGGGUGGCUCCAACAUCCCUUAGCCACAAAAGCUGGCCUCCUGGAUACCAGGCCAGUUUAACUGACCUCUUUCUUAAGAAAAACCCCCUUCACUUUGGAACAGGUAUUUCACAGUUAGCUGCAGCAUCAAGCUACAUAGAAAAAAUGUCCUCUUUUAAUGAGCACUCUCAGAAGUGCCCUCACCCAGAUGCAAAGGAUAAACCCUACCCUUGUGAGGUUUGUCAACAAUACUUCUCACUAUACAGUAGCCUGAAGUCUGACGGGGCUUGCAGUAGUAGUAGCUCCUGCAGCAUGUCUACUCACCCUAGUAUCAGCCGACCACUGAGUGCCCCACCUGAGCGGAAACAGCUGCCACCAACAUCACAGUCACCAACUUCAGCUGCACAAAGUUCCAGCCAUCCUCAGCAGUCUCCUCUUGCCCUUCUUCCACCUCCUCCACCACCACUACCUUUACAAAUGCCUGACAGAUCGCAGACUAACCAUGUAGACUCGCCAAUGAACCAACAGCAAACCCGUCGGCCUCGGCCAGCACCAACCAAGCAGUUCUUGUGCCCCGUUUGUCACAAGUACUUCACCCAAAAAGGAAAUCUAAAAACCCACAUGAUGAUUCACACAGGAGAGAAACCUUAUGGCUGCCAGGUGUGUGGUAAAAGGUUCACCCAGAAAGGCAAUGUAGACACACACAUGAAGAUUCAUACAGGAGAGAAGGAGUUCUCGUGUGACACUUGUGGCAAGAGCUUCACCCAAAAAGGAAACCUGAAAACGCACAUACGGAGUGUGCACACAAAAGAAAAACCAUUUGCGUGUGGAGUUUGUGGGAAAUGUUUUUCUCAGCGUGGAAAUAUGCAUACUCAUGUGAGAACCCAUAACAAGGAUGAUCGUUUCCCUUGCACUAUGUGUGGAAAGACAUUUUCACAAAAAGGAAACUUAAAAACUCACAUGCAGCGUCAUACAGGUCAGCUGCCUUCUCGUCGCUACGGUUCUCGUGGUGGUUCACGUUCCUGCUCCAAUGGAUCCCGCCCAAUAAUCCAAGGUUCCCGUUCAAACAUAAAUCAAUUCUCGUCUUACUCAGUUCAUGGCUCCUCUCCAGCUCCACCUACUUCUGGAUCUCCACAAACUCACUCUCCUUCUCUGAACCCUAUUAAUCUUGGUAAAUCUUCUCAAUCUCUAAAUAACCCACCUAGGCCUACACCAAGCCCUUUUCAAAGUGUUACUAAAACAACACAAGAAUCACAUUCCCAAUCGGUUCCUCCUCGCAGUUCUCCUCUUCCUCAGGUAUCUGCAAACACCUCCUUAGGAGGGGUUCAUAGAACUCCCUCAUCCACACAACCAUCCUCUGUCUCUAGCCCAUCACCUCCUGGCAUGUUGAGCCAUCCAGCAUAUCCCCACCAGCCAUCUCCGACUCUCGCACCUCCUUCAGAAUGUAUGAUCCACCCCGUGAUGCAUAGUCCUCCUGUCAACAAUUCUCAGAUGACUCACAUCAAGAGUCCGUCUCCAUGUGGCACUCCUGGCCAGUUGCAGUUCUCUGAACAAGAGAGUCGGCCCUUCUACUCUGCUCCGCCCACCCCAGUUCCAGCUCCACUGGCUCAUUCCCCAAGAUGGCUCCCUCAUGGCUAUCAGAGACACUACAGUAGCUUUCAGCCCCCAUCGUCUAUGAGCUCCUAUGGUCCAAUCUCUCAACACCCCACUCCUCUUUCACGUCUUGCUCUUCUCAGCUCAAAUGCAAUGGCUUAUCAUCAUACCCUUGGAAGUCCUCUUUCGGAAGACAAACAGAACACCAACAAUCUUGGGUUGUCAGGUCAUCACAUGUCAGAUGACCAUUUCCAUUCAUCAACAAGCCCCGACUUUUCUCAGUUGCUCGAUUGAUAAAAGUGACCAAGCAUUGUUUGUAAGAAAGACAGUGACUUUUUAAAUAGAAUAUUGGCUGAAAACAGUUGGCAUUAGUCAUAUCUUUGGAAGUAUCCAGAGCAAGCAUCUGAUUUAAAAACUACUUAAUAUAAGUGAGUUAUGAAUUGAUAUGCAAGAUGACAGUUUGAAGUAAUGAAUAUUUCUGAUCCUAAAUAAAUCUCGGUCAAGUUGUGUUUCACUCGGCACAAGCUACUCAAGGAGGUUGAUCCAUUCCCAAGUGAAAGAAGUAUACUACACACAGUGUGCAUUUAUCAUCCAUGUGGAAAGUUCUUACAUUUCCUCAUCUCUGCAGAUCACAUAGAACUUAAAUACAACUUUCUUUCUUUUUUUUUUCUAACACAUUAUAAAUUAUGAUGAUGAAACACUUUUUGCCACUACUUGUAUCCAUAUACAAUGGCCUGAUGUGAAUUCGCUUGGUGUUUUAUUAUUGGAAAAAUCAUACAGGAUGCAGGCAUUGGUGCUUUUGUUUGAAAUGUGAUAACAAAACCUAAGCUUAAAGGUGAUGUAUUUGAUAACAUCCUUAUUCUCCAUUUACUGAAAGUUAUGGUCAUUUUUUGGAAGCUGGUGAGAGAUGUUAACUAUUUAAUGAUGGGUGCUGAAUGUACGUGAUAUGAUAAAAUUCAUCAGUGUGUUUGUAGAACAAGUAUUUGUAUUAUGUACUUAUUACUAAUCCAUUUUGAUAAGUCUUUAAUUGAAUAAGGCAGCUUGAGGUUGAGAUUAAAAAAAUCUAAGAUAAUUUUUAUUUGAACUUUGAAAAUGGAGGUUCUUGGAAUAACUUUUAAGAAGAACUGUUUUGUUUGUUUUUUUUCCUUGGUUUUGUUUUACAUACUGGGAGUAAUUUUGUUGCCCCCAAAAAUUAUCAUAUUGCCUGUUAUAAAUUAUUAUUUUGCACAUGUACAAGCACUUGUACCUCUAAAGAAAGGUGCCAGUUUUACUGUUCAUUUGUAUAUAUCCAGAAUGUUAUUAUGAUGCAGGUUUUCAUUGUUGGUUGCUUUUAAAGAAAUUGAUGAUUGAAAAAUUUUAUAGACAAUUGUUGUGUUUGUAUGAAAGUGUGUUUGUUCUUUCAGAAAUGAAGCUCAAGUUUGUUGAAAAAUGAAAAAGGUUAGAGGUCGUGGAGUGUGUGUGUGUUGCAUGGUAUAGUUAAAUUUCUGACCAUCAUUUAAUCUUAAGUGAUGCAAUGAAGACAAGAAAC